rnacentral:tRNA from 1 species
GCCGUUGUAGCUCAGUUGGUAGAGCACCUCCAUGGUAAGGAGGGGGUCCCCAGUUCAAAUCUGGGCAACGGCU